rnacentral:lncRNA from 1 species
UAACAAAACAAUAAAGAAAACAAAAGAGCAUAAGAACACAAGAUUUACGUAGUUCGGUCAAUCAUGAGUCGACCUACGUCCACGGGUAAGACCACCGCAAUAUUUUCUUCCACUAAUUCACCGCACAAAAAAUACAAAAAAAAUAGAUUGGAUUACAAAAAACUCUCUCUUAGAAGCUCUCCACGUUUUCCUCUCAUCUAGGAUAUUUUCA